GUUUGACUAGGAGGUCCCUAGGAGCCUCUGUCUCUGGAGGCAGAGGCUCAAUGUCAUAGGGUGGUCACAGAGUUAUCAUUUUUAGGGGUGUGGUGGGGUGGGACUGUUGUUGAAGUAAAAGGAGGAGGGUUAGACCUGCCCAACUAGAGGUUUCUUCUAGUUUUUAUAUUUUUAAGACAGUUUAUUAUUAUGUGGCCAAUGAACCAGCAGGUGGCACUACACAACAAUUUUACACAGGCAAAAAUAAGUUCCCUUAGGGCGAAAAAGAUGAUGUUUUCUCAAAUGGGACCUUUGGAAGGAUAUGGACCUGUACAACAUGCACGCCUACCGGGGAAAAAGGACUGAAAAUAGUUGUUCGAAUAGGAUGCCCUUCACCCCGGUGACUCUCCAUACGAAAACGGAAUGUGAUCAACACUACUCUGACAAUUUACACAAACAAGAAGUGACCACUUUAAAGAUGGAAUGCCAAGAACAAUACAAUAAAUGCUAAAGAGAAAGAGUGACAAAAGUGAGCAACUACAGAUAAUGCAGUCAUGGAACCAGAAAAAGAGGUGAAAACCACAUUUGCAUAUAAUUGCAGCUUCCUGAUACUUUAGACUUUUCUCAUGCCAUUUUGCCUUCAUUCUCUAUACUUCCAGGUACAUGACUUUCUUUCUACUUGAGAAAUAGAAAUAAAAUCCUAAGUCCCCAAUCUGACUCAACACACCCCCUCCUGGCCAAGGAGACCCCAGGGAAACCUUAAAAACUCAAUUCCCAGCUAUGACCAGAGAGGUAAGGUCACUCAAUCAUUAUACCCACUCCUUUGCCACCAUUAGACUCUCUUUCCUAAGAGUUGAACAGAAACUAGCACUUUUGAAAGACUUGCUCCACUGCUGAUUUCAACCAACCACCUCAUUCUGCAGCAGAGCUCCCUUCCCCUUUUAUGGUCUCAACGCAACUGACCAGCAUUUCUUCCUGGAAAGAAACCAUGGACUGUGGACUGCUUCUAGCUGGUCCAUGGAGACUGUGCAUAGGGUGCCUCUGCAUUUAAACGUUGUGUCUCCACCUCAAAGUGCACAUGGGAUGUAUGUAACAUGCAUGUUUGCUUACUACGCAUG
rnacentral:lncRNA from 10 species